rnacentral:tRNA from 1 species
GAGAGUAUAGCUCAGUGGUAGAGCGCAUGCUUAGCAUACACAAGGUCCUGGGUUCAAUCCUCAGUACCUCCA